ACUCCUGAUGGGCCUGGAACUUGAUCAACUCAGCCGCUCAGGUUACAGUCCCUAAGACCCUCCCAAAGAACCUGAAUCGGUAUUGCUGAGUUGGGGGAAAGGUGGGAAGAUGAGACAUGAGAGAGCCAAUGGGGCAAGGUGAUUACUGAUGCCCAGCCAACUAUUAAACUAAUUAAAACAAUUUAAACUGUUAAGAAAAUUUUGUGGUUUUAUUGUAUCAUGAGGCAUUGAAACAUCCGAACAAAUCAAUAUCGGGCGGUGAGGCAGCUGCUUUCUCCUUCACUUCUUUGGGUUACUAGAGCAACUUGUCAGUAGAUUAAAAAAAAAAA